rnacentral:rRNA from 1 species
GACGAACGCUGGCGGCGUGCUUAACACAUGCAAGUCGAUCGGAAAGGCCCUGCUUUUGUGGGGUGCUCGAGUGGCGAACGGGUGAGUAACACGUGAGUAACCUGCCCUUGACUUUGGGAUGACUUCAGGAAACUGGGGCUAAUACCGGAUAGGAGCUCCUGCUGCAUGGUGGGGGUUGGAAAGUUUCGGCGGUUGGGGAUGGACUCGCGGCUUAUCAGCUUGUUGGUGGGGUAGUGGCUUACCAAGGCUUUGACGGGUAGCCGGCCUGAGAGGGUGACCGGCCACAUUGGGACUGAGAUACGGCCCAGACUCCUACGGGAGGCAGCAGUGGGGAAUAUUGCACAAUGGGCGGAAGCCUGAUGCAGCAACGCCGCGUGCGGGAUGACGGCCUUCGGGUUGUAAACCGCUUUCGCCUGUGACGAAGCGUGAGUGACGGUAAUGGGUAAAGAAGCACCGGCUAACUACGUG